UACGUAGGGGGCAAGCGUUGUCCGGAAUCAUUGGGCGUAAAGAGCGCGUAGGCGGUCCGGUAAGUCCGCUCUGAAAGUCCGGGGCUCAACCCCGGGAGGCGGGCGGAUUCUGUCGGGCUAGAGUCCGGAAGAGGCGAGUGGAAUUCCUGGUGUAGCGGUGAAAUGCGCAGAUAUCAGGAGGAACACCAAUGGCGAAGGCAGCUCGCUGGGACGGUACUGACGCUGAGGCGCGAAAGCGUGGGGAGCGAACAGG
rnacentral:rRNA from 1 species